CAACCCUCAAGCCCCUCCGGGCGUGGCGUUGGGGAUCGGCCCCACUUCGGUGGCCGGCCCCUAAUUGUAGUGGCGGUCUCGCCGCUGCCUCCUCUGCGUAGUAGAAACACCUCGCACUGGGAAGCGGCGCGGCCACGCCGUUAAACAGAUGAAUUUAUCUCAAGG
rnacentral:misc_RNA from 1 species